rnacentral:rRNA from 1 species
UACGGGGGGAGCAAGCGUUGUUCGGAUUUACUGGGCGUAGAGGGCGCGUAGGCGGUCAGCACAAGUCAGUUGUGAAAUCUCCGAGCUUAACUCGGAAAGGUCAACUGAUACUGUGCGACUAGAGUGCGGAAGGGGCAACUGGAAUUCUUGGUGUAGCGGUGAAAUGCGUAGAUAUCAAGAGGAACACCUGCGGCGAAGGCGGGUUGCUGGGCCGACACUGACGCUGAGGCGCGAAAGCUAGGGGAGCGAACGGG